rnacentral:rRNA from 1 species
CACGUAGGGCGCAAGCGUUGUCCGGAAUUAUUGGGCGUAAAGAGCUCGUAGGCGGUCUGUUGCGUCCGCUGUGAAAACUCGGGGCUUAACCCCGAGCCUGCAGUGGAUACGGGCAGGCUAGAGUUCGGUAGGGGAGUCUGGAAUUCCUGGUGUAGCGGUGAAAUGCGCAGAUAUCAGGAGGAACACCGGUGGCGAAGGCGGGACCCUGGGCCGAUACUGACGCUGAGGAGCGAAAGCGUGGGGAGCGAACAGG